rnacentral:rRNA from 1 species
ACGGGGGGUGCAAGCGUUGUCCGGAAUUAUUGGGCGUAAAGCGCGCGUAGGUGGCUAUGUAAGUCAGAUGUGAAAGCUCUGGGCUCAACCCCGGACUUGCAUUGGAAACUGCUUGACUUGAGUACGGAAGAGGUAAGUGGAAUUCCCGGUGUAGCGGUGAAAUGCGUAGAUAUUAGGAGGAACACCAGUGGCGAAGGCGGCUUACUGGGCCGUUACUGACACUGAGGCGCGAAAGCUUGGGGAGCAAACGG